rnacentral:rRNA from 1 species
UACGUAGGGCGCAAGCGUUGUCCGGAAUUAUUGGGCGUAAAGAGCUCGUAGGUGGUGUGUCGCGUCUGCCGUGAAAGCCCGGGGCUUAACUCCGGGUCUGCGGUGGAUACGGGCAGACUAGAGGCAGGUAGGGGAGGACGGAAUUCCCGGUGUAGCGGUGAAAUGCGCAGAUAUCGGGAAGAACACCCGUGGCGAAGGCGGCUCUCUGGGACGGUACUGACGCUGAGACGCGAAAGCGUGGGGAGCGAACAGG